CCUACGGGUGGCAGCAGUGGGGGAUAUUGCACAAUGGGGGGAACCCUGAUGCAGCGACGCCGCGUGGGUGAAGGAGUGCUUCGGCAUGUAAAGCCCUAUCGGCAGGGAAGAAGCAAGACGGUACCUGACUAAGAAGCCCCGGCUAAGUACGUGCCAGCAGCCGCGGUAAUACGUAGGGGGCGAGCGUUAUCGGGAUUAACUGGGUGUAAAGGGAGCGUAGACGGCCUUUCAAGCCAGGGGUGAAAGCCCGGGGCCCAACCCCGGGACUGCGUUUGGAACUGGAUGGCUGGAGUGAGGGAGGGGCAGGCGGAAGUCCUGGUGUAGCGGUGAAAGGCGUAGAGAUCAGGAGGAACACCGGCGGCGAAGGCGGCCUGCUGGACUUCGACUGACGUUGAGGCUCGAAAGCGUGGGGAGCGAACAGGAUUAGAUACCCGAGUAGUC
rnacentral:rRNA from 1 species